rnacentral:rRNA from 1 species
CAAUAGCGUAUAUUUAAGUUGCUGCAGUUAAAAAGCUCGUAGUUGGAUUUGUGGCGUACGGUGUGUUCCGGGCACUUGUUGUCUGAGUAACCUGCUGUUGCCAUCCUUGGGUGGAACCUGUGUGGCAUUAGGUUGUCGUGCAGGGGAUGCCCAUCAUUUACUGUGAAAAAAUUAGAGUGUUCAAAGCAGGCUUAUGCCGUUGAAUAUAUUAGCAUGGAAUAAUGAGAUAGGACUUUUUUGCUAUUUUGUUGGUUUGCGCAAAGAGGUAAUGAUUAAUAGGGACAGUUGGGGGUAUUCGUAUUCCAUUGUCAGAGGUGAAAUUCUUGGAUUUUUGGAAGACGAACUACUGCGAAAGCAUUUACCAAGGAUGUUUUCAUUAA